UGUGUGUUUGUGAGACGCACCUCCCACAGUGGGAUUAGGUCCUGCCUCCUCAGCCACCAAGUCAGCGUGCACACAGCCCAGGAGUGCAGACAUGAAGCGUACGCUGGUGUGUGUGCUGAUGGCUGCCUGGAGCCUCGGAAGUGGCACCCAGACAGUCAACCAGCCGGUGGGGGACAUGCAUGCGCUGAAGGGCGAAGCCGUGAUGCUGGACUGCAACCACGAAGGCAACGACUACAUCUUCUGGUUCAAACAGAACAGCCAGGCAGCACCAGAGUUCAUCUUGAGACGCUUCAAGAGCGGUCAAGAAAAGACAGUGAGCAGCUUUGACCAGAGGUUAAGCUGCAGCAUCAAUGCUAGCACCCACCAAGCUCCUCUGGAAAUCCAAGACGUGCAGCUGAACGACUCUGCCAUCUACUACUGCGCCCUGCAGCCCACAAUGACUGACAGCUCUGCUGCACACGCGCAAAAACUCCUGUAGGCCCCUCAAGUCAAAGGUCACAGGUGGCCUGAGUGCUGAACCGUUAAUAUCAUGAAGUAAAUACACAUGUUACCUCCACUUCAACGUGAUGUGUUUUUUGUUGUAAAUAUGAGAGCCAAAGCAGACUUUACUUUUUAAAAUAAAUUGUCAUUUUUACCAUCCAAGUAUGUAAAUCUCUGGAAAUGUUUUGCACCGCUGACCACAAUGUCCAUCAAAAAAUGUAGUGAAUGAUGUGAAGUAUUAUUAAAAGUGAAA